AGUGAACGCUGGCGGUAGGCCUAACACAUGCAAGUCGAGCGGCAGCACAGUAAGAGCUUGCUCUUACGGGUGGCGAGUGGCGGACGGGUGAGGAAUACAUCGGAAUCUACUUUUUCGUGGGGGAUAACGUAGGGAAACUUACGCUAAUACCGCAUACGACCUACGGGUGAAAGCAGGGGAUCUUCGGACCUUGCGCGAUUGAAUGAGCCGAUGUCGGAUUAGCUAGUUGGCGGGGUAAAGGCCCACCAAGGCGACGAUCCGUAGCUGGUCUGAGAGGAUGAUUAGCCACACUGGAACUGAGACACGGUCCAGACUCCUACGGGAGGCAGCAGUGGGGAAUAUUGGACAAUGGGCGCAAGCCUGAUCCAGCCAUACCGCGUGGGUGAAGAAGGCCUUCGGGUUGUAAAGCCCUUUUGUUGGGAAAGAAAAGCAGCAGGUUAAUACCCCGCUGUUCUGACGGUACCCAAAGAAUAAGCACCGGCUAACUUCGUG
rnacentral:rRNA from 1 species